AAGGCUAUAGCACACCCGUUUCUUGGCCAUUUUUCCGCUGGGGGGUGUUGGCGCCCCGACGUUCGGGCGCUCAUUUUUGGGCGCCGCUGUGCCCGUGGCCUAUUUUUGGCACACGUAGGCCGCCCGCAAAGUUUGGGGCCAUUCCGAGUCCGGCAUAUGAACUUCGCCCACGCCCCCCACCAAGGCUAUAGCCCACACGUUUUUUGGCCAUUUUUCCGCUGGGGGGUGUUGGCGCCCCGACCUUCAGAUGUUCAUUUUUGGGCGCGGCUGUGCCCGUGGCCUAUUUUUGGCAAACGGAAGCCGCCCGGAAUGUCUGGGGCCAUUCCGAGUCCGGCGGACGAACUUCGCCCACGCCUCCCGCCAAGGCUAUAGCCCACCCGUUUUUUGGCCAUUUUUCCGCUGGCGGGUGUUGUCGCCCCGACCUUCGGGCGCUCAUUUUUGGGCACGGCUGUGCCCGUGGCCUAUUUUUGGCACACGGAGGCCGCCCGCAAAGUCUGGGGCCAUUCCGAGUCCGGCGGACGAACUUCGCCCACGCCCCCCACCAAGGCUAUAGCACACCCGUUUCUUGGCCAUUUUUCCGCUGGGGGGUGUUGUCGCCCCGACCUUCCGGCGCUCAUUUUUGGGCGCGGCUGUGCCCGUGGCCUAUUUUUGGCAAACGGAGGCCGCCCGGAAAGUCUGGGGCCAUUCCGAGUCCGGCGGACGAACUUCGCCCACGCCUCCCGCCAAGGCUAUAGCCCACCCGUUUUUUGGCCAUUUUUCCGCUGGCGGGUGUUGUCGCCCCGACCUUCGGGCGCUCAUUUUUGGGCACGGCUGUGCCCGUGGCCUAUUUUUGGCACACGGAGGCCGCCCGCAAAGUCUGGGGCCAUUCCGAGUCCGGCGGACGAACUUCGCCCAUGCCCCCCACCAAGGCUAUAGCACACCCGUGUCGUGGCCAUUUUUCCGCUGGGGGGUGUAGUCGUCCCGACCUUGGGGCGCUCAUUUUUGGGCACGGCUGUGCCCGUGGCCUAUUUUUGGUACACGGAAGCCGCCCGCAAAGUCUGGGGCCAUUCCGAGUCCGGCGGACGAACUUCACCCACGCCCCCCGCCAAGGCUAUAGCCGACCCGUUUUUUGGCCAUUUUUCCGCUGUGGGGUGUUGGCGUCCCUACCUUCGGGAGCUCAUUUUUGGGCGCGGCUGUGCCCGUGGCCUAUUUUUUGCACACGGAGGCCGCCCACAAAGUCUGGGGCCAUUACGAGUCCGGCGGACGAACUUCGCCCACGCCCCCCACCAAGGCUAUAGCACACCCGUUUCUUGGCCAUUUUUCCGCUGGGGGGUGUUGGCGCCCCGACCUUCGGGCGCUCAUUUUUGGGCGCCGCUGUGCCCGUGGCCUAUUUUUGGCACACGGAGGCCGCCCGCAAAGUUUGGGGCCAUUCCGAGUCCGGCAUACGAACUUCGCCCACGCCCCCCACCAAGGCUAUNNNNNNNNNNNNNNNNNNNNNNNNNNNNNNNNNNNNNNNNNNNNNNNNNNNNNNNNNNNNNNNNNNNNNNNNNNNNNNNNNNNNNNNNNNNNNNNNNNNNNNNNNNNGAGGCCGCCCGGAAAGUCUGGGGCCAUUCCGAGUCCGGCGGACGAACUUCGCCCACGCCUCCCGCCAAGGCUAUAGCCCACCCGUUUUUUGGCCAUUUUUCCGCUGGCGGGUGUUGUCGCCCCGACCUUCGGGCGCUCAUUUUUGGGCACGGCUGUGCCCGUGGCCUAUUUUUGGCACACGGAGGCCGCCCGCAAAGUCUGGGGCCAUUCCGAGUCUGGCGGACGAACUUCGCCCACGCCCCCCACCAAGGCUAUAGCACACCCGUUUCUUGGCCAUUUUUCCGCUGGGGGGUGUUGUCGCCCCGACCUUCGGGCGCUCAUUUUUGGGAGCGGCUGUGCCUGUGGCCUAUUUUUGGCACACGGAGGCCGCCCACAAAGUCUGGGGCCAUUCCGAGUCCGGCGGACGAACUUCGCCCACGCCCCCCGCCAAGGCUAUAGCCCACCCGUUUUUUGGCCAUUUUUCCGCUGGAGGGUGUUGGUGCCCCGACCUUCGGGUGCUCAUUUUUGGGCGCGGCUGUGCCCGUGGCCUAUUUUUGGUACACGGAGGCCGCCCGCAAAGUCUGGGGCCAUUCCGAGUCCGGCGGACGAACUUCGCCCACGCCCCCCACCAAGGCUAUAGCCCACCCGUUUUUUGGCAAUUUUUCUGCUGGGGGGUGUUGGCGCCCCGACCAUCGGGCGCUCAUUUUUGGGCGCGGCAGCGCCCGUGGCUUAUUUUUGGCACACGGAGGCCGCCCGCAAAGUCUGGGGCCAUUCCGAGUCCGGCGGACAAAAUUCGCCCACGCCCCCCACCAAGGCUAUAGCACACCCGUUUCUUGGCCAUUUUUCCGCUGGGGGCUGUUGGCGCCCCGACCUUCGGGCGCUCAUUUUUGGGUGCGGCUGUGCCCGUGGCCUAUUUUUGGUACACGGAGGCCGCCCGCAAAGUCUGGGGCCAUUCCGAGUCCGGCGGAUGAACUUCGCCCACGCCCCCCGCCAAGGCUAUAGCCCACCCGUUUUUUGGCCAUUUUUCCGCUGGGGGGUGUUGGCGCCCCGACCUUCGGGCGCUCAUUUUUGGGCGCGGCUGUGCCCGUCGCCUAUUUUUGGCACAGGAGGCCGCCCGCAAGGUCUGGGGCCAUUCCGAGUCCGGCGGACGAACUUCGCCCACGCCCCCCACCAAGGCUAUAGUACACCCGUUUCUUGGCCAUUUUUCCGCUGGGGGGUGUUGGCGCCCCGACCUUCGGGCGCUCAUUUUUGGGCGCGGCUGUGUCCGUGGCCUAUUUUUGGCACACGGAGGCCGCCCGCAAAGUCUGGGGCCAUUCCGAGUCCGGCGUACGAACUUCGCCCACGCCCCCCACCAAGGCUAUAGCCCACACGUUUUUUGGCCAUUUUUCGGCUGGGGGGGGUUGGCGGCCCGACCUUCGGAUGCUCAUUUUUGGGCGCGGCAGUGCCCGUGGCUUAUUUUUAGCACACGGAGGCCGCCCGCAAAGUCUGGGGCCAUUCCGAGUCCGGCGGACGAACUUCGCCCACGCCCCCCGCCAAGGCUAUAGCCCACCCGUUUUUG
rnacentral:lncRNA from 1 species